rnacentral:rRNA from 1 species
CCUACGGGUGGCAGCAGUAGGGAAUUUUCGGCAAUGGGGGAAACCCUGACCGAGCAACGCCGCGUGAACGAAGAAGUUAUUCGUAAUGUAAAGUUCUUUUAACAGGGAAGAAAGAGAAAUUUGACGGUACCUGAAGAAUAAGCUCCGGCUAACUACGUGCCGGCAGCCGCGGUAAUACGUAGGGAGCGAGCGUUAUCCGGAAUUAUUGGGCGAAAAGGGUGAUUAGAUGGCAUAGUAAGUCUUUGGUAAAAAUGCUGGGCUAAACCCAGUAGGGCAAAAGAUACUGCAAAGCUAGAGUAUGAGAGAGGCAAGUGGAACUACAGGUGUAGCGGUAAAAUGCGUAAAUAUAGGUAAGAACACCAGUGGCGAAGGCGGCUUGCUGGGUCGAUACUGACACUGAGGCACGAAAGCGUGGGGAGCAAACAGGAUUAGAUACCCUUGUAGUC